rnacentral:lncRNA from 13 species
AGUCUGUCAAAAGAGGUAAGAUUGUGUGUGUGUGUGUGUGUGUAUCUUUCUCUGGGAUUACAGCAAUGAAACUCUCAAAGGAAAAUAAUAAUCAAAUUACUAUUACCACUGUCAUAUUCUAUUAAAAUGAUACCUUCUUUGUACUCAUACCAGUAUAGAUAAUAAGCAUUAUUCUAGAAGUUAACGUUCUUCCUUUCCUCUUUCUCUUUUGCCAUUUAUUCCCUUUAUCAGAGUUCCUUAGUUCUAAGAAAUCAAAACCAAGCUUCAUCUAAAGAUAAAACAGAGUUUACUAGAAAGAAAGACAAGACUCACAGCAUCAACCAGAGAUUUUAAAACAAGGAUUAGAAAAUAUUAAGGAACCACAGGACACGCAAAAGUUGUGUUUCAGGAAUAUUUUGGCCAGCUACUACUGCCGCAAAACUCAAAAGAUAACCAUGCCUGCUACUGCUGCCUAUGUGAAUGCCAUUGGAUCCUUCCUCUUUGUGUCAUCUGCUCAAGAUAAAGUCCUUGGUGAGAGAAUCUGAUGAGCCAAACCUAGCUCAUGUGCACUUGACCCAGCACGCAGGCAACGUGGAGAAGGAAUUCUGUUCUGCCCUUCGGCCUUUCACCAUGGGAGGUUGCAGCAUGAAGGCCCUCACCAGAUGCUGACACCAUCCUCCUGGACUUCACCUCUGGAAUCGCACAACUUCAGAAGCUGACCAAGGGGAAUAUGGAACGAAGAAAGCCACUUACAUCUUGAAAGUUUUUUCCUGGGGAAAGGAAGAACAUUGCAAGAAAGAAAGGUUGCUUCCUGGUUGCCAUUUUUUCAUCGGUGUUUUUUCUGGAGGAAAAAAUGACUCUUGGCAAAGGAGGCAAGACACCUGCAAAGUAGUCAGCGUUUCCUCCUAUAGGCAUAGAGGUCUGAGUAAUGUGUUCAAUAGAAUCGGAAGAAGAUGACAGACAGACAGCAAAUGAUCAACAUUUCAUAAAAAU